AGCUUUUUCAUUAGAGGGUUUGAAAAAUAGCCUUUCCGAAGAAUGACACCUUUAUGUAUAAUCCAAUUGAGCUAUGAAUUUAAGAACAUUACUGGGCUGAGGUUUUCAUCUGCUUUGAUCAAGCCUAAGGUAUGGCAGGCCUCCAAACCUUUCCUUUGAGAAUGCUGCUGUUAAUGAAUUUCGUAAAUCUGACAAGUUUUUGCUGCCCCCUCAAAAAAGUAUUUGGCUUAAUUUUAUGGUGAGCAGAAUUCAAAAGGCAAAAGGAAGGAAAAUAACAGCUUUAUUUUUUGAGACAGGGUCUCGUGCUGUUAGCCAGUCUGAAGUGCAGUGGCGCAGUCUCAGUUCACUGAAGCCUCCACCUUCUGGGCUCAAGCGAUCCUCUUCCCUCAGAAUAGCUGGGACUACAGGUGCACCCCAUCAAGCCUGGCUAAUUUUUGUGUUUUCAGUAGAGAUGGUUUCACCACGUAGCCAGGCUGGUUUUGAACUCCUGACUUCAAGUGAUCCGCCCUCCUCGGCCUCCUAAGGAUUGAGGAAAAAUAAUUCAAGUAUGGUUUGCAAAUUCCUUUAUACAAU
rnacentral:lncRNA from 10 species